rnacentral:rRNA from 1 species
UAUGUUAAUAGCAUACUCAUUUGACGUUAGCUGCAGAAGAAGCACCGGCUAACUCCGUGCCAGCAGCCGCGGUAAUACGGAGGGUGCGAGCGUUAAUCGGAAUUACUGGGCGUAAAGCGCAUGCAGGUGGUUUGUUAAGUCAGAUGUGAAAAGCCCCGGGGCUCAACCUCGGAAUUGCAUUUGAAAACUGGCAAACUAGAGUACUGUAGAGGGGGUAGAAUUUCAGGUGUAGCGGUGAAAUGCGUAGAGAUCUGAAGGAAUACCGGUGGCGAAGGCGGCCCCCUGGACAGAUACUGACACUCAGAUGCGAAAGCGUGGGGAGCAAACAGGAUUAGAUACCCUGGUAG